rnacentral:rRNA from 1 species
CCUACGGGUGGCAGCAGUGAGGAAUAUUGGUCAAUGGGCUUACGCCUGAACCAGCCAAGUCGCGUGAGGGAAGACUGCCCUAUGGGUUGUAAACCUCUUUUGUCAGGGAGCAACGCCGGCUACGUGUAGCCGGACUGAGAGUACCUGAAGAAAAAGCAUCGGCUAACUCCGUGCCAGCAGCCGCGGUAAUACGGGGGAUGCGAGCGUUAUCCGGAUUGAUUGGGUUUAAAGGGUGCGUAGGCGGAAUGCCAAGUCAGCGGUAAAAUCGCGGGGCUCAACCUCGCUCCGCCGUUGAAAGUGGCGUUCUUGAGUGGGCGAGAAGUAUGCGGAAUGCGGGGUGUAGCGGUGAAAUGCAUAGAUAUCACGCAGAACUCUGAUUGCGAAGGCAGUUCACUGGACUGCAACUGACACUGAGGCUCGAAAGUGUGGGUAUCAAACAGGAUUAGAUACCCUUGUAGUC